rnacentral:sRNA from 1 species
UUUUACACGCAUUAAGGAUGGAAAUGGCAUCCUUUUUUGCCAUUAAAAGCAAAAAAGAUAUAAUGUACAGCCUGACCUAAG